rnacentral:rRNA from 1 species
AUACGGAGGAUCCGAGCGUUAUCCGGAUUUAUUGGGUUUAAAGGGUGCGCAGGCGGGAGAUUAAGUCGGCGGUGAAAUUUUGCAGCUCAACUUUAAAAAUGACUUCGAAACUGGGUUCCUUGAGUGUAGAUUAAGUAGGCGGAAUUUGUGGUGUAGCCGGGAAAUGCAUAGAUAUCACGAGGAACCACGAUUGAGUAUGCAGCUGACCCGACCGCAAAUGACGCUCAAGCACGAAAGUACGGGGAUUGAACAGGAUUAAAUGCCCUGGUAGUCCGCACAGUAAACGAUGAAUACUUGAUUUCGGCGAUAUAAUGUCGGAGGCAAAGCGAAAACGAUAAGUAUUCCACCUGGGGAGUACGCCGGCAACGGUGAAACUUAAAGGAAUUGACGGGG